rnacentral:rRNA from 1 species
GGAUUAGAUACCCUGGUAGUCUACGCUGUAAACGAUGGAUACUAGUUGUUUGUAUUUCGGUAUGAGUGACUAAGCGAAAGUGAUAAGUAUCCCACCUGGGGAGUACGUUCGCAAGAAUGAAACUCAAAGGAAUUGACGGGGGCCCGCACAAGCGGUGGAGCAUGUGGUUUAAUUCGAUGAUACGCGAGGAACCUUACCAGGGCUUAAAUGUAGUAUGCCAGGUUUAGAGAUAGAUUUUUCUUCGGACAUAUUACAAGGUGCUGCAUGGUUGUCGUCAGCUCGUGCUG